rnacentral:rRNA from 1 species
GACGGGGGCUGCAAGCGUUAUCCGGAAUGAUUGGGCGUAAAGCGUCUGUAGGUGGUUUAUCAAGUCUUCUGUCAAAGAUCAGGGCUUAACUCUGGGCAGGCAGGAGAAACUAGUAGACUAGAGUUCGGUAGGGGCAGAGGGAAUUCCCGGUGGAGCGGUGAAAUGCGUAGAGAUCGGGAGGAACACCAAAGGCGAAAGCACUCUGCUGGGCCUUAACUGACACUGAGAGACGAAAGCGAGGGGAGCAAAUGGG